UAUGCAGCAAGAAAGAACAUCACCGAUCACAGACACUCCAUGUUGAACAUGUCCAGGUAAAAGUACUGCCCCGACCACACUCUGAUCUGCGAAGGGAAGACAACUAGAUCUGAUCUUUCGGAUUAAUAGAAAAUAACACAACUAAAUGACAAGUUUCAUUCAAACCAAUAACUGCCUAAGAUCCGAGAAGCAGGGGCUCAUCCAACUUCAAACAAUUGUCAACACAGCCCCACAGAAAACGCAACAGAUCACCAGCUGUCAAAUCCAGUAGAACUUUCAACCUGUUCAAGAAGCCUAGAAUGUUGU